rnacentral:rRNA from 1 species
AGAGUUUGAUCAUGGCUCAGAAUCAACGCUGGCGGCGUGCCUAACACAUGCAAGUCGAGCGGGAAAGGGGGCUUCGGCCCCUGAGUAUAGCGGCGGACGGGUGAGUAACACGUGGGUAAUUUGCCCUUGGGUGUGGAAUAACUCAGGGAAACUUGAGCUAAUACCGCAUGACAUCCUCUUCUCACACGAGUUGAGGAUCAAAGCCGGGGGACCUUCGGGGCCUGGCGCCUGAGGAGAAGCCCGCGCCCGAUUAGCUAGUUGGUGAGGUAAUGGCUCACCAAGGCUUCGAUCGGUAGCCGGGCCUGAGAGGGCGGACGGCCCACACUGGGGACUUGAGACACGGCCCCAGACUCCUUACGGGGAGGCAGCAGUGGGGGAAUUUUUUGUCAAUGGGGGAAACCCCUGAACAAAGCAACGCCGCCGUGGAAGGACGAAAGACCUUCGGGGUGGUAAACUCCCUGUCGGGAAGGGGACGAAAAGCGGAUCGGAGGGCUAAUUUAU